CGCACGGGAGAGUAACACGUGAAUGACAUGCCCUUGAGUGGGGGAUAGCCCAGGGAAACUUGGAUUAAUACCCCAUGGUAUCGCGAGAUUAAAGGUGGCCGCAAGGCUGUCGCUCAAGGAUUGGUUCGCGCCCUAUCAGCUUGUUGGCGAGGUAACGGCUCACCAAGGCUACGACGGGUACCUGGUUUGAGAGGACGAUCAGGCACACUGGGACUGAGACACGGUCCAG
rnacentral:rRNA from 1 species